CUGUGGCGCGAGCGUCGCGCCUCCUCCUCAACCUCCUCGAUCCGCGAUGCCCUGACUGCACUGCGCACGUGCGCCUCGCGAGCCAUGGCCGCCUUUUGCCGAGCUGCGGGAUCGACGUCUGACCGCCAUCAUGACCGGCCUCUUGCGAAGGUCCCGGUCGCAGUCUCCUGUGCCUUUGGACCUUGGGAGCGACUGGGUGAUUAUAUGCCAGCUGUUUUGGUUGAGCUAGACGCCAAAAGCAAUAUUGCAACACCAUGGGUGAGGAACAUGAUUCUGCCAGUAUUUAAGCAUUAUACUUGCUAACACUGAGAGCUUAAUUAUCUUUGAUGCAACCAGUCCGUCCAAGCAUCCAAAUAGUUGAUUUGGGAUGUAGAGAUUAAAGAACAGUAGGGCGUCAGGUUCAGAAUUGCCUUGGCAUCUUCCAGUGUGGGACGAUGUUGAUUGUCGGGAUUUGAAGAUAAGUGUGCCCCAUACCGUGGCUGAGCCUGUCGGUUUCGCACAGUGGCUGCACGACACCUCAUGGACCCGAUGUGAAGGACAAGUAAGCCAUCCACACGAAGUCGGCGGCAGCAAGGGUGUGGGGCGUCGGGAGGAGCAUCUGGGUUGAAGGUUCUGGCCCUCGCCAUUGAGACUACCGUGUUCGUCGCCGAGUACAUCUGGGGAAGGUGGAGCUGCGAGGAAACAAGACAGGUGGACAAUGCGACAGGAAGCAAGAAUGAAUUUCUAAUCAAUCUACUGUUUCCCUUGAGUCGGGGGGAACGUACCACGCACCACGUUGUGUUUAUUGAUCUGGAAUCCUAGAGGAUCACCCACCCUCGUAAUUCAGUAUUGAGAUGAUCUCCUUAAUUUCUCAAAUGUGUUUUAUUAAAUUGGAUUCCUGUAAUUAUCCUUGCUCUAAUUUGAUAGUUUUACCCUCCCGAGCAUGUUGUGCUUCCAUAAAAACAUGAAUAUUUCUCAGCCAUUUUAUUGAAAAUGUAGUCGUAUGCUUUCACAUUGACUCUGGAUAUUCUCCUAAACGAAGGUCAAGAACAAUUGAUUUUAUCGGCAACAGGAGGCGCUUAUCAGUCGCCAUCAAGUGCCUCAACCAGUGCGGCGUCCAGGUACACACAUUGCUUCAUCUCCUGUGCUAUCUCAUCGUCUAGACAAUAUAUCCAUGGGUGACCCCUGUACUCACCUCAUCUCCAGAUUAGAACAUAAGUGUCCGUAGGAGGGUAGGAUCUAGGCAACUGCAGUACUGAUUGUCCAGCUAGGCAACAAAGUCGACGGGGCAAAUAACAUAAUCUUCAGAUAAAGUUAUAUUCGAAAGUCAGUAGGCUUUUCAUGAUUGCCAGUGGUAAAACAAGCAUAUAUUUCUUUUGAUUAUUGACAUAGCACAGCUUAGUAGAGUGGACCAACCAACAUUGGGUUUGGGAGGUCAUUUAAUAGGAAACACUUCGCUGCAAGUUUCUUCACCAUUGAACACAAUUCAUCACAAGACUUUAUAUAUGUUGGCUGUCAUGCAUGUACGUCUGCAACUAAAUAAUUACAGGAUGUUGUGUGCUUGUUCUAUGUCCAGCAGUAAAGAUGUUUGAAGUUUUGUACCAGUUUCCAAUAGAUCAUUUCCUACAACAAUAUUUGUUUUGCAAUCCAAACAAGUAAAUGUCUUGUAAAGAAGUAGAUGUUUCUGCAUAUCAACACACCAUUCAAGUUAUUUACAGAAUGAUUUUCUUGGAGCGUUCAUAAUUUCAUGUAUGUUUACAUCAUUAUUCAUGUGUGGGUUGUAUUGUGUUUUCUUUCGUGGGGUGCCGGACGCGCUACUGACGGUACUAGCAUGUUUGGGCUGGGGAGACAGAGAUGGUAUGCGGAGUAAGAAGAGUGAUUUAAGGGGAGAGAAAUCAUAACAGGGGUUGGUGGAGCAGAAGAGGGUGAAGGAAGACUUGUGGGGAGCUGCGAGGAAUAGAUUUUGGGAUUUGUUUCCUUAUAGGAUAUCCUGCCGAUUUGAUCUAUUUUUGGCUAGAGCACAUGGGAUCAAACCAGAGGUAAUCAAUUUUCUAUGUUCACCUGAUUAGUUAUAAGGAAUUUAUUACCUCUGUUUUAUUUCCAGGAUACCCAAACCAGUGGUAACGUUUUUUAUGGCUUUGAAAUUCUGUACAAGGUAAUUACUCGUGGUUUCAAGGUUGCGCAAAGGAGAGGAGGCAUGGUUAUAGGUCCUCGACAACAUCUGCGCCUCAUAGUUUAUUAGGCAUGGACCCAGCCACAAAUUCUGAAGCUUCAAUAAUUUGGGUGGUCUAAUAGUUCCUGUAUAGCUUGAUGUCAUAUCAGGUGUAAUAUUUUGUUGUUGCUUGAUGUUGCAUCAAGACAAGCUAGGGUCAACAAGGAACAAAGGGGUUGACACAUGGAGAAGCGGGAGCAUAAAAUUCAAAAG